UAUUUUGUAAAAUUGUAAGAAAGUAAGUGCUAGUUUGUGAUUUAGUAGAGUUUUGUUGAUGAACAGGAACUUGAUCAAUGAAGUAGGGUGCUAUAAUAAACAAAUAAAUGAAAUUGUGUUGCUAAUUCUUGCUUUUAAACUUUUAAUAUUGUGUUUUUUUUCUUUGUUUAAAAUUUGUUAAGGUUUUUUUUUAAUAGAUUGUAGCCUCGGAAUCCAUACAAGACACUGGAGCAGUUGCAAGUUCUCGGGCUGCUGAAAUUGGGCUAGCACAAACAAUCCAGGUGUCACCUAGUUAUUAAAGUUAUAUUUGUAAACAUGUAUAUAAAUACAAGGGCAUUUCGGUCAUUAUACCCCCAUAAAAGUUUUUAAAAAAGAUAGGUAACUAUUUGUUGCGCUUUAUUUAUGGAUUUAUAACAUUAAAAAAAAUCAUAUCUCAUAGUAUUUUCAAAUAUACAUUUCUCCUUUUGUCUUAAAAUUGUUAUAUUGAAUGUUCAGGAUGAUUUAGAUAUCAUAACUCGUUUUCUAAUACUAGCAAGAUAACCUAUAAUCCCAGGAAUUGACAAGCCCCAUAAGACGAGCAUUGUGUUUACAUUAGAAGAAGGCCCUAGGGUCUUGUUCAAUGCUUUAGCUGUGUUUUCUCUAAGGGAGAUCAACUUAUCAAAAGUAACCUUCUCAACAACAACAUUCUACUUAAGCAGGUGAGUAAUCAAGAUUAAGGGAGACUUGUAAUCAUGUUUGGCAUUCCUUUCCAGUACACAUUAAGCAGGUGGUACGCACACAAGGCGUUGGCAGAAACAAAUAACAUGAAAUGUUUCCAGUAAGAAAGAGAGUUGUAUGAUUAUUUGUUAGUUUUAUAGGAAUGUAUAACCCAUGUUAGCAAUGUAUUAUUUUUGUUUAACAUUUGAAUGAUUCUUUGUAUGACAUUAUA